rnacentral:rRNA from 1 species
AUGGCUGUUGAUCAAAAUCCUCCACCACCAAAGCAAGGUUUCAUCCAUGUGAGGGCAAGAAGGGGUCAAGCAACUGACAGCCAUAGCCUUGCAGAAAGGGUUAUAAAACGUGCAAAAAAACUCAUCACAUGCUCACCAAUACCCCAGCGAGGCAUCACUACCUGGGUUCCUAGUUCAUUGAAGAGACAAACAUCAAAGUCUGGAAGAUAUUUUAGAAAUGAUGAAGUCGACGUCCAGCAAGAAGCUCAAGGAGUUUUAAUGGGCCACAUUAAAAUCUGUGAGCUCAUCGGAACAGGGCAGUAA